rnacentral:lncRNA from 1 species
CAAUCGGAAGAGACAAGUCCGCAGUAGGAGCAGGGUCAGGUGCAUGAAGUGAAUCAGCCGGGUCGGAUGCUGGGCAAGGACGACGAUGAUAUGUCAAGAGUGGAGUGUCUUCUGCAGGGAGUCUAGGAGGAGCCCCGGUAGAUGGUCCAAUGUUUGGAAUGGGUAAGACUUCUGUAGCGGAAGGUGAAGGAGGAGAUAUA